rnacentral:tRNA from 2 species
CGGGGCGUAGCGCAGCCCGGUAGCGCGCCUGCUUUGGGAGCAGGAUGUCGUAGGUUCAAAUCCUAUCGCCCCGACCA